rnacentral:rRNA from 1 species
UACAGAGGGUGCGAGCGUUAAUCGGAAUUACUGGGCGUAAAGGGCGCGUAGGCGGCUAGAUGUGUCAAAGGUGAAAUCCCUCGGCUCAACUGAGGAACUGCCUUUGAAACUGUCUGGCUUGAGGCCGGGAGAGGGUAGCGGAAUUCCCAGUGUAGCGGUGAAAUGCGUAGAUAUCAGGAGGAACACCGGUGGCGAAGGCGGGUCUCUGGGCCGAUACUGACGCUGAGGAGCGAAAGCGUGGGGAGCAAACAGG